rnacentral:tRNA from 2 species
GGUCGGGUGGCCGAGUGGCUAGGCAGAGGUCUGCAAAACCUUUUACACCGGUUCGAAUCCGGUCCUGACCU